CAUGCAAGUCGAGCGGACGACGGGAGCUUGCUCCUUGAUUCAGCGGCGGACGGGUGAGUAAUGCCUAGGAAUCUGCCUGGUAGUGGGGGACAACGUUUCGAAAGGAACGCUAAUACCGCAUACGUCCUACGGGAGAAAGCAGGGGACCUUCGGGCCUUGCGCUAUCAGAUGAGCCUAGGUCGGAUUAGCUAGUUGGUGGGGUAAUGGCUCACCAAGGCGACGAUCCGUAACUGGUCUGAGAGGAUGAUCAGUCACACUGGAACUGAGACACGGUCCAGACUCCUACGGGAGGCAGCAGUGGGGAAUAUUGGACAAUGGGCGAAAGCCUGAUCCAGCCAUGCCGCGUGUGUGAAGAAGGUCUUCGGAUUGUAAAGCACUUUAAGUUGGGAGGAAGGGCAGUAAGUUAAUACCUUGCUGUUUUGACGUUACCGACAGAAUUAGCACCGGCUAACUCUGUGCCAGCA
rnacentral:rRNA from 1 species